rnacentral:tRNA from 1 species
AGCAGUGUAGCUCAGAAGGUAGAGCGUCCCCCAACGUUGAAGGGGAAGGAUACCCCGCCAGUCCCAUGAGGAGUAACGGGGAGCCAUGUAUCAAUAUUGCGGAUGCACCGAGUUUGAUAGAAAGGUUGAACAAGGGAAGCGCGUUGAGGAGAUAUAUGGGUAACUCACGGGUUCGAGUCCCGUCACUGCUA